rnacentral:sRNA from 1 species
CGACGCAUGCGCCCGCCGC